GUGGGGAAUUUUGGACAAUGGGCGCAAGCCUGAUCCAGCCAUUCCGCGUGCAGGAUGAAGGCCUUCGGGUUGUAAACUGCUUUUGUACGGAACGAAAAGCCUCUGGUUAAUACCCGGGGGUCAUGACGGUACCGUAAGAAUAAGCACCGGCUAACUACGUGCCAGCAGCCGCGGUAAUACGUAGGGUGCGAGCGUUAAUCGGAAUUACCGGGCGUAAAGCGUGCGCAGGCGGUGAUGUAAGACAGUUGUGAAAUCCCCGGGCUCAACCUGGGAACUGCAGCUGUGACUGCAUUGCUGGAGUGCGGCAGAGGGGGAUGGAAUUCCGCGUGUAGCAGUGAAAUGCGUAGAUAUGCGGAGGAACACCGAUGGCGAAGGCAAUCCCCUGGGCCUGCACUGACGCUCAUGCACGAAAGCGUGGAGAGCAAACAGGAUUAGAUACCCUUGUAGUCC
rnacentral:rRNA from 1 species